GGGGUUGUGGUUCAGUGGUAGAACGCUUGCCUAUCAUGUGUGAGUCAUUGAGUUCAAUCCUCAGAACUACG
rnacentral:tRNA from 1 species